AUUUUUCCGUAGGUGAACCUGCGGAGGGAUCAUUA
rnacentral:rRNA from 1 species